rnacentral:lncRNA from 1 species
GUUUCUUUGGGAGGAGUGAAGAAAUUGAAGACUAGAUCUUACUCUUCUUACCUUUCUGAGAUUACUGUUUUGUCCGUGUGUCUCUCUCUCUUUCUGCCCCACACCCUAAGUCCAUCAGUUAUGGACAGUCAAGUGGAAGAACCUUGGAUUUGAAGCUGUUGCCUACAGUGUCAGAGGUCUGUGUGCUCAUUGCCUCAUUUCUCAAGGUCGACCUGGAAAGUUCCUGUCUAUUUUCACAGAAGUAGUCUCCUUCACACAAAAAUUUGGACUCCUUUUAGGAUUUUAUUGUUUUUCAAAGGCUCAGGAAAGAGAGAGCACCUAUUUCUUGCUUUCAGCAAGGAAUCAUGGUGGAUAUGGCUGUUUGUUCCCGUGAUAAUGGUGUUGCUGCUCAGGUUGCUACUGGUCAAGUUGUGGUGGAAACAUUUGAAAACCCACACAUCAUCUUUCUAUAUUUGUAAAACAGAUUUGGGGCCAAUGAAGUUCUGCAGAAUGAAAUGAACAGAUCAGAUGAUGCUCCCUGGCCUUGAAAAUAAUCAGCUUUCCCAUCUAUCAGAAGCAGAGGGUACACUUGAAACUAUCUGUUGCUUUCUAGAUUUACGUUUCUAUAUUAAUUAUGUGAUUUACUGAA